rnacentral:rRNA from 1 species
AACGAACGCUGGCGGCAUGCCUAACACAUGCAAGUCGAACGAUGCCUUCGGGCAUAGUUGCGCACGGGGGAGUAACGCGGGGGAACCUGCCCUGGGGUAAGGAAUAAUUCCGGGAAACAGGAGCUAAUACCGUAGGGGUCCCCUGGGACAAAGAUUUAUCGCCACGGGAUGGGCCCGCGUAGGAUUAGCUUGUUGGUGGGGUAACGGCCUACCAAGGCUACGAUCCUUAGCUGGUCGGAGAGGAGGAUCAGCCACACUGGGACUGAGACACGGCCCAGACUCGGACGGGAGGCAGCAGUGGGGAAUAUUGGACAAUGGGCGCAAGCCUGAUCCAGCAAUGCCGGGUGGGUGGUGAAGGCCUUCGGGUUGUAAAGCUCUUUCGCACGCGACGAUGAUGACGGUAGCGUGAGAAGAAGCCCGGGCUAACUUCGU